rnacentral:rRNA from 1 species
AUUGCACGCUGGCGGCAGGCCUAACACAUGCAAGUCGCGCGAGCGGCGGACGGGUGAGUAAUGUCUGGGAAACUGCCUGAUGGAGGGGGAUAACUACUGGAAACGGUAGCUAAUACCGCAUACCAUCGGAUGUGCCCAGAUGUGAGUAGCUAGUAGGUGGGGUAAAGGCUCACCUAGGCGACGAUCCCUAGCUGGUCUGAGAGGAUGACCAGCCACACGGGAACUGAGACACGGGCCAGACUCCUACGGGAGGCAGCAGUGGGGAAUAUUGAACAAUGGGCGCAAGCCUGAUGCAGCCAUGCCGCGUGUAUGAAGAAGGCCUUCGGGUUGUAAAGUACUUUCAGCGGGGAGGCGUUACCCGCAGAAGAAGCACCGGCUAACUCCGUGCCAGCAGCCGCGGUAAUUC